rnacentral:rRNA from 1 species
GACGAACGCUGGCGGCGUGCUUAACACAUGCAAGUCGAACGGAAAGGCCCUGCUUGCAGGGUACUCGAGUGGCGAACGGGUGAGUAACACGUGGGUGAUCUGCCCUGCACUUCGGGAUAAGCUUGGGAAACUGGGUCUAAUACCGGAUAGGAGCCAUCUUUAGUGUGGUGGUUGGAAAGUUUUUUCGGUGUAGGAUGAGCUCGCGGCCUAUCAGCUUGUUGGUGGGGUAAUGGCCUACCAAGGCGGCGACGGGUAGCCGGCCUGAGAGGGUGUACGGCCACAUUGGGACUGAGAUACGGCCCAGACUCCUACGGGAGGCAGCAGGGGGGAAUAUUGCACAAUGGGCGCAAGCCUGAUGCAGCGACGCCGCGUGGGGGAUGAAGGCCUUCGGGUUGUAAACUCCUUUCGCUAGGGACGAAGCUUUGUUGUGACGGUACCUAGAUAAGAAGCACCGGCUAACUACGUG